GGAGUGGGCCAUAGCUCAGUGGAAGAGUGUUUGCUUUGCAUGUAGAAGGUCCCAGGUUUAAACCCUGGCACUUCCA